rnacentral:rRNA from 1 species
UACGGAGGGAGCUAGCGUUGUUCGGAAUUACUGGGCGUAAAGCGCGCGUAGGCGGCCUUGCAAGUUAGAGGUGAAAGCCCGAAGCUCAACUCCGGAACUGCCUUUAAAACUGCAUAGCUUGAAUCCGGGAGAGGUGAGUGGAAUUCCGAGUGUAGAGGUGAAAUUCGUAGAUAUUCGGAAGAACACCAGUGGCGAAGGCGGCUCACUGGACCGGUAUUGACGCUGAGGUGCGAAAGCGUGGGGAGCGAACAGG